CUGCUGUAGACUUUAACUCAUCUCUAGAUUAUGUACCUUGCCAUGUGAUAUGGUGAGUAUAGUUUCUAAUGCUGUAUCUGAAGGGACCAGCUCCCCAUUUCGGCAGCCAUAACAGCCGAACACAUACUUGUCUGACCUUGUCCUAGUCAUUAGAAGUCAGAUGCCUGCCUCGUGGCAAGGAACCAAUCAGAAGUUAGCUGGCAGCGCUAUGCUUUACGGCUCUGGGUGUGCUUUACGGACAAGUGCACAGCAAUGAUGCACAGAGCAUAGCAACCACCCUGGGAGGGCCUAUGGACCAUAACAACCAGUUGGCCAAUCAACACAGGGCAAACCCUCCAAGCCUGGAGGCACACCAAUCCUGAGCCUGUGCAUACCUCUAGACACUCCCCUUAUGCUGCCCUAUAAGAUCUCUAUGCAGUGGCUUCGAAGCGUCUUUUCUAGCCAUCCUUCAUGGUGGAUGAAUGAAAGGCCCGAGCUAACAUGGGGUUAGCUCGUUAAACAAUUGCAAUAAAGCCUCGUGCUUUUUGCAUCAAGUUUCUGCCUCUGCAUGGUGAUUGGGGUGGCCGCGGUCAUGGGCUGAGAUCCUGGGGGCCUGAGCCUCUGGAGGUCUUUCAUUUGGGGGCUCGUCCUAGAUUUGAGACCACCCGUCACCUGAGUGGAGUCGAUCUUGGAGGUAAGGUCGAGCUCGAAACCUAUAUGUUUGAUAAUGUGCCUUGUAAUGUCCAUGUUUGAUAAUGUGUCUUGUUAUGUACAUGUUUGAUAAUGUGUCUUGUUAUGUCUCUUGCUGUUUGACUUGGAUUUGAAUCUGUGCCUGCGCAGGACUUGUAUUUGGUAAUAUGGACCACAGGGAGGUAGAUGUGCCCUGAGCCUCUUGGUUCCACCCUGGACAAAAGUCCAAGGGUUGUUUGUAAUUUUGGUUUGGCACCAUGUCUGUAAUUUGGUCUGCCUCGAGGUUUGUCCUGUCUGUAUUGUUCGUCCUUCUGUUUUUACAGUUUGUGUCUAUUUCGUCCUCCCCAUGGGGCUAGCCAUCUGAAAUUCUGAAUAGGACCCUAGUCUGUGUUACUGUGCUGUCUGUCCAAGUUUCACAUUUGUGCUGUGUGUUUGUUAAGCCUGUCUUUGUCUUUUGUCCUGACUCUGGAGGUCUAUCAGAACAGCUUCUGCUCUCUGGACUCCAGCGGCGUCUCUCUCUCUCUCUGUCCUUACUGCCCACGCACAUGGCAUGCGUGGGUCAGGCGUCUUUUCUUGCCCUGAGCACGUGGUGUGUGGGACAGGAGUUCCUCUGCCAUGUGCUAUGGGUUAGAGUGUGCUGCGGUGGAGUCCCCUGAGGCUGCUGCUCUGAACUCCAACCACUGCUGGGCCCUCACAGCUGAGCCUGGCUGGUGCAGGUGAGUCUGUUUUUCCAUUCUCACAUGCUGGUCUGUGAGGCAUGUGAAGUGGGGCUCUCUCGGCCCCAACUGCCAUCCUGCCAUGGGUCCUGGCUUGCCUCGGGAGUUUCCUUGCCCUGAGCACACGGCUGCAAGGCUACCAUUUGCCUGGCUGCCCGGCCUUCUCUGUGUUGCACACACAUGGUAUGCAGGGAAACCUCGGGGGUCUUUUUCCCACGCCUGCAUUGGCAGAGGGUCUGGGAUUACCAGAAGCACCCGCCCCCAGGUCUCUGCCCUGAGAACAUGGAGCUGGAGUGGAUGAACCAUCUGGCCUGAUCUGGACAUUCUAAAGAAACUGCCUUAAAGUUAUUAAAAACCAUAAAAAGGACUUUGAUAAGAGUUUUUAUGUUGACUGAGAAAUGAGAAAAAAAUGUAGGAGACUAAAAUAAUAAAGAGGGAAAGGGAAAGAGAAAUUUGUCUAAGAAUGUCUAAGAAAAUCAGAGGAAUGAACUGAAGGUAUAUAGAAAGUUAUAGAGGGUUAAAGAAAGUCGUAGAAGGUCAGAAGAAAGUUGUCAAAGGUCAGAGAAAAGGUUGUUAAAAGUCAGAGAAAAAUGUAAACUGUUUGUUAUGGUUUCUCAUGUCUACAAAUAGUAAAUUUUAAAAAUUGAUAACAUAAGUUAAAAUUUUAACCAUAUUAAAUUAAUUCUGUUUAAAAAGUUCUGUUUAUUUCUCAAGUAAAUUAUGUAUGUUUGUUUUAAAAUGUUCUGUUUCCUGGCAUAACCUACAUUACAUGCAUACAGCUAAAACAAAUGGUGCAGGUCACCGCCAUUUUGCAGCCAGCCACAUGGCAAGCUGGUCACAUGGCUGACUGGUAGCCAUUUUGCUGAAGUUGAAAAAAGAUACUUAAAUCGCCAUCUUGACUAAAGGUGACCACAUGGAAAUUAGAGUUUAUAAUAUCAGACAGACUGCCAGAUCCUGACAGGGACCCAAAGUCUCCAAAGAAGAUUAUGAGGCACCCCAGUUCCUGCACCUGGAUGAUGACGACAAUGACCAGUGAGCGAGAUGCUCAGAUGUGACACCUGCUGCCUGCCAGGACCUGGCCGAAACUGUGGACAAAACUGCUGGACACUGGAAAAUUGAUUGUACCCCUUUGCCUAGACAAAACAAGACACAUCUGAGUAUCGGUUGCUGACUACAGGCUGUUUCUAAGCAGACUGCGGGCCCUGGACUUGCUGUGGAUGUGAACCAGUCCAGCUGAUAUGGACACCCCCUGUCUCUGCAACAGAGUCUGCCAACCAGAAGCUCCUGAUGAUUCCCCAUUGCCUAAAUUCCCUUUUUUGCUUUUGACUAGCAUUUCAGCCUUCUUUGGUCCCUAACUUCGUCCCAAAGUCAGCAGGAAGUAGCAUGGGAAAGAAUACAUCACCCAUUUUCCAGGGUUGAAAUGCUAAGUCAGAAGGAACUCCCUUCAUAAGGGAUGCUAAUAUCUCUCACUCCCUGAUGGGGAUGCUGGAGAGACAGCAAUUCCAUGAUUGGAGUCUCCAAAAAAGAAAAAAUGGGGGAAUGAAGGGACCAGCUCCCCAUUUCGGCAGCCAUAACAGCCAAACACAUACUUGCCUGACCUUGUCUUGGUCACUAGGAGAUCAGAUGCCUGCCUCGUGGCAAGGAACCAAUCAGAAGUUAGCUGGCGGCGCUAUGCUUUACAGCUCUGGGUGUGCUUUACAGACAAGUGCACAGCAAUGACGUGCAGAGCAUAGCAACCACCCUGGGAGGGCCUAUGGACCAUAACAACCAGUUGACCAAUCAACACAGGGCAAACCCUCCAAGCCUGGAGGCACAACAAUCCUGAGCCUGUGCAUACCCCUAGACACUCCCUAAUGCUGCCCUAUAAGAGCUCUAUGCAGAUGCUUUGAGCUGUCUUUCCUAGCCAUUCCUAGCCAUCCGCCAUGGUGGAUGGAUGAAAGGCCUGAGCUAACAUGGGGUUAGCUCGUUAAACAACUGUAAUAAAGCCUCUUGCUGUUUGCAUCAAGUUUCU
rnacentral:lncRNA from 1 species